rnacentral:rRNA from 1 species
UACGGAGGGUGCACGCGUUAUCCGGAUUCACUGGGUUUAAAGGGUGCGUAGGUGGGUUGGUAAGUCAGUGGUGAAAUCCCCGAGCUUAACUUGGGAACUGCCAUUGAUACUAUUAAUCUUGAAUACCUGGAGGUUAGCGAAUAUGGUCAUGUAGCGGUGAAAUGCUUAGAUAUGACAUAGAACACCAAUUGCGAAGGCAGCUGGCUACACGAAUAUUGACACUGAUGCACGAAAGCGUGGGGAUCAAACAGG